rnacentral:rRNA from 1 species
UGUAAUUUGUAGAGGAUGUUUUUGGUGCGGUAUCUUCCGAGUUCCUUGGAACAGGACGCCUUAGAGGGUGAGAGCCCCGUACGGUUGAAUGCCUAGCCUUUGUAAAACUCCUUCGACGAGUCGAGUAGUUUGGGAAUGCUGCUCUAAAUGGGAGGUAAAUUUCUUCUAAAGCUAAAUACCGGCCAGAGACCGAUAGCGCACAAGUAGAGUGAUCGAAAGAUGAAAAGCACUUUGAAAAGAGGGUUAAAUAGCACGUGAAAUUGUUGAAAGGGAAGGAUUUAUGACCAGACUUUUUCUAGGCGAAUCAUCCGGUGUUCUCACCGGUGCACUUCGUUUAGUUUAGGCCAGCAUCGAUUUUCGGGGCGGGAUAAAAGCUUUAGGAAUGUGGCUCCUUCGGGAGUGUUAUAACCUAUUGUAUAAUACCGCCCUGGGGAUCGAGGUACGCGCUUCUGCAAGGAUGCUGGCGUAAUGGUUAUCAAUCACCCGUCUUGAAACACGGACCAAGGAGUCGAACAUUUGUGCAAGUGUUUGGGUGUUAAACCCUCACGCGUAAUGAAAGUGAACGGAGGUGAGAGCCCUUACGGGUGCAUCAUCGACCGAUCCUGAUGUCUUCGGAUGGAUUUGAGUAAGAGCAUAACUGUUCGGACCCGAAAGAUGGUGAACUAUGCGUGGAUAGGGUGAAGCCAGAGGAAACUCUGGUGGAGGCUCGCAGCGGUUCUGACGUGCAAAUCGAUCGUCAAAUCUGCGCAUGGGGGCGAAAGACUAAUCGAACCAUC